AGGUUCGAUUCUGGCUCAGGAUGAACGCUAGCGGCAGGCCUAACACAUGCAAGUCGAGGGGCAGGCAGGGGGUAGCAAUACCCCGCUGGCGACCGGCGGACGGGUGCGUAACGCGUAUGCAACCUACCCGUAACAGGGGAAUAACGGAGGGAAACCUCCACUAAUGCCCCAUAUAGUCAGGGGACCGCAUGGUUUCGUGACGAAAGCUUCGGUGGUUACGGACGGGCAUGCGUGGCAUUAGGCGGUUGGCGGGGUAACGGCCCACCAAACCUACGAUGCCUAGGGGAGCUGAGAGGCUAAUCCCCCACACUGGUACUGAGACACGGACCAGACUCCUACGGGAGGCAGCAGUGAGGAAUAUUGGUCAAUGGACGGAAGUCUGAACCAGCCAUGCCGCGUGAAGGAAAGACGGCCCUAUGGGUUGUAAGCUUCUUUUAGCCGGGAGUAAUAAGGCGCACGUGCUGCGCCGAUGAAAGUACCGGCGGAAUAAGCAUCGGCUAACUCCGUGCCAGCAGCAGC
rnacentral:rRNA from 1 species